CAAAAUCCGCUGAGAUAAAUUCUAUUGCAAUAAGUUCCACCUGUAAACCACAGAUUGACUGGACUAAUAUUAGAUUUGGUAAAUACUCGAGUGUCAGUCUACCUUGGAAAUGGGGACUCUACGGACGAGGGACUCGGAUGGCGAUAUUGUUCGCCCACUUCCACGAGUAAAGCGAAUGUUGAGUCAGAAACCACUUGUCUGCCGCAUGUGGUACAGAUUCGCACGUUGAAGGAUCUCUUGGAGACGUGGAGAAAGGA